rnacentral:rRNA from 1 species
ACGCUGGCGGUAUGCUUAACACAUGCAAGUCGAACGGAAACGAUAGAAGCUUGCUUCUAGGCGUCGAGUGGCGGACGGGUGCGUAACGCGUGGGAAUUUACCUUUUAGUGGGGGAUAGCCCGGUGAAAACCGGAUUAAUACCGCAUACUACUCUACGGAGGAAAAGGGGCCUCUCCUUGGAAGCUCUUGCUAUUAGAUGAGCCCGCGUAAGAUUAGCUAGUUGGUUGAGGUAAUGGCUCACCAAGGCAACGAUCUUUAGCUGGUUUGAGAGGAUGAUCAGCCACACUGGGACUGAGACACGGCCCAGACUCCUACGGGAGGCAGCAGUGGGGAAUAUUGGACAAUGGGCGCAAGCCUGAUCCAGCAAUACCGCGUGUGUGAAGAAGGCCUGAGGGUUGUAAAGCACUUUCAAUAGGGACUAAAUGUUCGUAGUUAAUAACUGCGGAUCUUGAAUUAACCUAUAGAAGAAGGACCGGCUAACUCCGUGCCAGCAGCCGCGGUAAUACGGAGGGUCCGAGCGUUAAUCGGAAUUACUGGGCGUAAAGCGCGCGUAGGCGGUUUAUUAAGUCGGAUGUGAAAGCCCUGGGCUCAACCUGGGAACUGCAUUCGAUACUGGUAAACUAGAGUAUAGUAGAGGUAAGUGGAAUUCCAUGUGUAGCGGUGAAAUGCGUAGAUAUGUGGAGGAACAUCAGUGGCGAAGGCGACUUACUGGACUAAUACUGACGCUGAGGUGCGAAAGCGUGGGGAGCAAACGGGAUUAGAUACCCCGGUAGUCCACGCCGUAAACGAUGUCAACUAGCCGUUGGGAGCAUUUGAGCUUUUAGUGGCGCAGCUAACGCAUUAAGUUGACCGCCUGGGGAGUACGCACGCAAGGU